rnacentral:misc_RNA from 2 species
AGCAGCCGCGGUAAUUCCAGCUCCAAUAGCGUAUAUUAAAGUUGUUGCAGUUAAAAGCUCGUAGUUGAAUUUCGGAAUCAGUACGCUGGUCGUGCCUUAGGUAUGCACUGGUGUCACUGGUUUCUCCCUUCUGACGAGCCGUCAUGCCAUUAAUUUAGUGUGGCGGGAAAUCAGGACUGUUACUUUGAAAAAUUGAGUGUUUAAAGCAGGCUCACGCUUGAAUACAUUAGCAUGGAAUAAUGAAAUAGGACGUUGAUCUUAUUUUGUUGGUUUCUAGGAUUGACGUAAUGAUUAAUAGGGAUAGUUGGGGGCAUUAGUAUUCAAUUGUCAGAGGUGAAAUUCUUGGAUUUAUUGAAGACUAACUACUGCGAAAGCAUUUGCCAAGGAUGUUUUCAUUAAUCAAGAACGAAAGUUAGGGAUCGAAGACGAUCAGAUACCGUCGUAGUCUUAACCAUAAACUAUGCCGACUAGGGAUCGGAUGAUGUUAAUUUUUAUGACU